rnacentral:rRNA from 1 species
GAUGAACGCUGGCGGCGUGCCUAAUACAUGCAAGUCGAGCGAACAGACGAGGAGCUUGCUCCUCUGACGUUAGCGGCGGACGGGUGAGUAACACGUGGAUAACCUACCUAUAAGACUGGGAUAACUUCGGGAAACCGGAGCUAAUACCGGAUAAUAUAUUGAACCGCAUGGUUCAAUAGUGAAAGACGGUUUUGCUGUCACUUAUAGAUGGAUCCGCGCCGCAUUAGCUAGUUGGUAAGGUAACGGCUUACCAAGGCAACGAUGCGUAGCCGACCUGAGAGGGUGCUCGGCCACACUGGAACUGAGACACGGUCCAGACUCCUACGGGAGGCAGCAGUCGGGAAUCUUCCGCAACGGGCGAAAGCCUGACGGAGCAACGCCGCGUGAGUGAUGAAGGUCUUCGGAUCGUAAAACUCUGUUAUUAGGGAAGAACAAAUGUGUAAGUAACUAUGCACGUCUUGACGGUACCUAAUCAGAAAGCCACGGCUAACUACGUG